rnacentral:rRNA from 1 species
GGAAAUAGCUGGUUCUCCGCGAAAUCUAUUUAGGUAGAGCGUCGGGCGAAUACUCCAGGGGGUAGAGCACUGGAUGGGCUAGGGGUCCUUACCGGAUUACCAAACCUAACCAAACUCCGAAUACCUGGAAGUACUACCCGGCAGACACACCAUGGGUGCUAACGUCCGUGGUGGAGAGGGAAAAAACCCUGACCGCCGUCUAAGGUCCCUAAAUUGUGGCUAAGUGGGAAAGGAUGUGGGGUCCCCAAAACAACCAGGAGGUUGGCUUAGAAGCAGCCAUCCUUUAAAGAAAGCGUAACAGCUCACUGGUCUAAAUAAGUUGUCUUGCGGCGAAGAUGUAACGGGGCUCAAGCCAUGAGCCGAAGCUUAGGAUGCAUUUAUUGCAUGGUAGCAGAGCGUAGUGUGACAUAAUUCCAUGUCUCCUUAACCACUUCGGUGGGAUUGGAGACGCGGAGUUUUCUGUGAAGCGGGCCUGUGAGGGAUCCCGUGGAGAGAUCACUAGUGAGAAUGAUGACAUGAGUAGCGACAAAGAGUGUGAGAGACACUCUCGCCGAAAAUCCAAGGGUUCCUGCUUAAAGCUAAUCUGAGCAGGGUAAGCCGACCCCUAAGGCGAGGCCGAAAGGCGUAGUCGAUGGGAACCAGGUUAAUAUUCCUGGGCCAGAUGGAAGUGACGGAUCUCGAGGGUAGUUCAUCCUUAUCGGAUUGAAUGGGCUGCUUAGAGGUCCCUGGAAAUAGCUCCAUCGCUAGAUCGUACCCUAAACCGACACAGGUGGACUGGUAGAGAAUACCAAGGCGCUUGAGAGAACGAUGUUGAAGGAACUCGGCAAAAUACCUCCGUAAGUUCGCGAGAAGGAGGCCCGGUUUCUACGCAAGUAUUGACUGGGGGCACAAACCAGGGGGUGGCGACUGUUUACUAAAAACACAGGGCUCUGCGAAGUCGCAAGACGACGUAUAGGGUCUGACGCCUGCCCGGUGCCUGAAGGUUAAAAGGAGGAGUGCAAGCUCCGAAUUGAAGCCCAGGUAAACGGCGGCCGUAACUAUAACGGUCCUAAGGUAGCGAAAUUCCUUGUCGGGUAAGUUCCGACCUGCACGAAUGGCGUAACGACUUCCCCGCUGUCUCCAACAUCGACUCAGCGAAAUUGAAUUACCGGUCAAGAUGCCGGUUACCCGCGGUUAGACGGAAAGACCCCGUGCACCUUUACUACAACUUCACACUGGCAUUAGGCCGAACAUGUGCAGGAUAGGUGGUGGGCUUUGAAGCGUGAACGCCAGUUUGCGUGGAGCCUCCCUUGAGAUACCACCCUUGUUCUGCUUGAUGUCUAACCGCGGCCCGUUAUCCGGAUCCGGGACCCUGUGUGUUGCGUAGUUUGACUGGGGCGUCCGCCUCCUAAACCGUAACGGAUGCGCGCGACGCUUGGAUC